GACGAACGCUGGCGGCGUGCUUAACACAUGCAAGUCGAACGGGCCCGCUCUCUUUUUUGGGGGUGGGUUGAGUGGCGAACGGGUGAGUAUCACGUGAGUAACCUGCCCCCUGCUCCUGGAUAACUGCUUGAAAGGGCGGCUAAUACGGGGUGUGCCGGCUGGUCCGCAUGGGCCUGGUCGGGAUAGUUUCAUCUUCGGGUGUUUCGGUGGGGGAUGGGCUCGCGGCCUAUCAGCUUGUUGGUGGGGUGAUGGCCCACCAAGGCGGUGACGGGUAGCCGGCCUGAGAGGGUGGGCGGCCACACUGGGACUGAGACACGGCCCAGACUCCUGCGGGAGGCAGCAGUGGGGGGUAUUGCACAAUGGACGGAAGCCUGAUGCAGCGACGUCGCGUGAGGGAUGGAGGCCUUCGGGUUGUGAACCUCUUUCUCCGGUGGUGAAGGCCCUGUCCGUUGCGGCGGGGUUGACGGUAGCCGGGUAUGAAGCGCCGGCUAACUACGUG
rnacentral:rRNA from 1 species